AUUUAAAUAGCUUAUGUUUAGAGCAUGGUAGUGAAGUUACCAAGGAGAUUUUUUAAUCUUUAAAUA
rnacentral:tRNA from 1 species